rnacentral:rRNA from 1 species
GCUGGCGGCAUGCCUUACACAUGCAAGUCGAACGGCAGCGCGGACUUCGGUCUGGCGGCGAGUGGCGAACGGGUGAGUAAUACAUCGGAACGUACCCUGUUGUGGGGGAUAACUAGUCGAAAGAUUAGCUAAUACCGCAUACGACCUGAGGGUGAAAGCGGGGGACCGUAAGGCCUCGCGCAGCAGGAAGCGGCCGAUGUCUGAUUAGCUAGUUGGUGGGGUAAAGGCUCACCAAGGCGACGAUCAGUAGCUGGUCUGAGAGGACGAUCAGCCACACUGGGACUGAGACACGGGCCCAGACUCCUACGGGAGGCAGCAGUGGGGAAUUUUGGACAAUGGGGGCAACCCUGAUCCAGCAAUGCCGCGUGUGUGAAGAAGGCCUUCGGGUUGUAAAGCACUUUUGUCCGGAAAGAAAACGUUCUGGUUAAUACCUGGGGCGGAUGACGGUACCGGAAGAAUAAGCACCAGCUAACUACGUGCCAGCAGCCGCGGUAAUACGUAGGGUGCGAGCGUUAAUCGGAAUUACUGGGCGUAAAGCGUGCGCAGGCGGUUUUGUAAGACAGGCGUGAAAUCCCCGGGCUUAACCUGGGAAUUGCGCUUGUGACUGCAAGGCUAGAGUGCGUCAGAGGGGGGUAGAAUUCCACGUGUAGCAGUGAAAUGCGUAGAGAUGUGGAGGAAUACCGAUGGCGAA